rnacentral:guide_RNA from 1 species
AAAUCAUGCAAUAGAAAGCUAUGUAGACAGAUAUCUGAUAAUUAU